rnacentral:lncRNA from 1 species
GGAGAUGUGGCUCAGUGGUCAAGUGCCCCUGAGUUCAAUCCCUAGUACUGCUCCCCCCCUAAAUUGGUUAUCAUUUAUUACCACUGUUACCAUUAUCACUAUCGUAUUCAAUGUCCCACAUGCUUUUACGUUAUACACAUGGUUAUUAUUUGUGUCUAUCUAAUCUCAUGUACUUUUAAUCCUCAGGCUAAGCACAAUAUUUGGCAUGAACAGGUAUGCAGUAAAUAUUUUUGAAAUUUAAUUAUUAAUGUCUAUGCUUUUUCCCCCUUAUCUGCUUAUAAGCUCCUUGAGGUAGGUUUCCUGCUUUGUAUGUAACAAUCAUCAGGGAUGCUAGCCAGUGCCCUGUGCAUUAUCAAUAUUCAAAUAUGUCAUGAAUAAGCCCAUGCAUUAAUGACUUUUGUGUACAAAUGACUGUUCAAAUGUUGGCUGACAAAGAGCAGGACAGACCAUAGGUGUAGCAAGAGAGCUGCUCCCAGUGUGGCAUGGGGCCAGCUGAAUGCUUGAAGGCAAACGCUUCUUCGGUCUGAUUUUUUUUUUUUCUCAUAAACGUCUCUUGAAAAGGCAAAUGGCAAAUGAGAUGCAGUGUUGAAGUUGAGGAUCCAUCUUCUGAACCUGACGCCAGUGUGUGGACAUGGUAAGGGAAAGAAGUAGAGGU